rnacentral:rRNA from 1 species
UGGGGAAUAUUGCACAAUGGGCGCAAGCCUGAUGCAGCCAUGCCGCGUGUGUGAAGAAGGCCUUCGGGUUGUAAAGCACUUUCAGCGGGGAGGAAGGCGUUAAGGUUAAUAACCUUGGCGAUUGACGUUACCCGCAGAAGAAGCACCGGCUAACUCCGUGCCAGCAGCCGCGGUAAUACGGAGGGUGCAAGCGUUAAUCGGAAUUACUGGGCGUAAAGCGCACGCAGGCGGUCUGUCAAGUCGGAUGUGAAAUCCCCGGGCUCAACCUGGGAACGGCAUUCGAAACUGGCAGGCUAGAGUCGUGUAGAGGGGGGUAGAAUUCCAGGUGUAGCGGUGAAAUGCGUAGAGAUCUGGGGGAAUACCGGUGGCGAAGGCGGCCCCCUGGACGAAGACUGACGCUCAGGUGCGAAAGCGUGGGGAGCAAACAGG